CUUCAACUUGUCUACAUUACAUCUAUUUCCUUGUCUCCGUAUCUUAUCUCUAUAGCAACUUAGUUGAUACGAAUGAUUUUGAUGCUGAGGGAUCGGGAUUUGCUUCUGAGAUGGAAAAAUGGAUACAAUUUUUCUCGAUGGAGACAAUGAGAGUGCAAGUUUCAGGCUGCCACAUUCAAACAAUUUGAUUUUAACUACUCGUUUGGGGUCUUGUCCACCUUUUUCUUACUUGUUAAUAACUACUUUGUCGGAGAUGCAUUCUUGAUCAGCCAACUCAUUUUAUGCCCUGCUUGAUAUGAUCCACAUACUAUACUCCAUCAUGGACUUGAAAGAGAAUUUUUUCGGCUUCUUGCUCACUCACACGGUGGUGAUCCUGCCUAUGUCGCUCUCCUACCAUCAGGAUUUGCAAUUCUUCCCGAUGAGCAAUCCACCAAUGGUCCUAUCAAAGGGUGAGGGCAAAACCUCUUCUUCUGUCUUCCCAACCUCGAGAAUCAAGCACCAACAAGGAAAAAAAUUGGAUUAGGGUAUAAAAUUAUUUUAUUAAAAAUUGGUGAUUAAAAUGAUGUCAAAU
rnacentral:lncRNA from 1 species